rnacentral:rRNA from 1 species
CGUAGGGGGCGAGCGUUAUCCGGAAUCAUUGGGCGUAAAGGGCGCGUAGGCGGAUAUUUAAGUCAGGUGUGAAAACCCAGGGCUCAACCUUGGGAUUGCAUCUGAUACUGGGUAUCUUGAGGACAGGAGAGGAAAGUGGAAUUCCUAGUGUAGCGGUGAAAUGCGUAGAUAUUAGGAGGAACACCAGUGGCGAAGGCGACUUUCUGGACUGUAACUGACGCUGAGGCGCGAAAGCCAGGGGAGCGAACGGGAUUAGAUACCCCGGUAGUCCUGGCCUUAAACGAUGGAUGCUUGGUGUCUGGAGUUUUAUAGUCUCCGGGUGCCGUAGCUAACGCGUUAAGCGAUCCCGCCUGGGGAGUACGGUCGCAAGACUG